rnacentral:tRNA from 1 species
GCCUGAGUCGCUUAGUUGAUGGAGCGUCUGACUUUGGCUCAAGUCAUGAUCUUGCGGGUUUGUGGGUUCAAGCCCCGCAUCAGGCU